CAAGAGAGAGAGAGAGGAUGAGCAGUUUGCGUGGCGGACGAGCUACGGGAAGAAGGUGCGGCGUCCUCCAAGCCGCGGUGAAGUUUUGAAUAUGUGCGUUCAGUGAAUCGGAGAGGAGAGGAGGACAACGGUGCCGCCGCCGGACGGAUUGGAACAGAGAGGCGAGAUUCGAACAGACUAGAAGCGGCGUGUAGUUUUACCUCAAUCGUGAUUUUUCCCUUUUUUUAAUUUAUACUCAC
rnacentral:lncRNA from 1 species